AAAAGGAGACUUUCUGCUAAAAUCGCCCAUGUCCUGUGGCUAAAGCAAAAAUCACCACAUCCUGUGGA
rnacentral:sRNA from 20 species